UCCCGAAUGAAAUUCGGGCCACAAUUAUAGACCAUGUCAUAAACCAUGGCCUCACAAUGGCAGAGGCAGGUCGUCGAGUGCAGCCUAAUGUGCCUCGCUCUACAGUCUCCUCCAUCAUCCAAACCUUUGGCAGGGAAAACAGGAUUGGACGACAACCUCACGUGGGUGGCAGAGGAAAACUGCUCAAUGAACAACAGGAAAGAGAGAUUUGUAACAUGGUGAUGGCAAACAAUGCCAUCACACUGAGACAGAUCCGUGAUGCCAUCCUUCAGGACAAUCAUAUAUUCCAGAAUAUAAACACAAUAAGCAUCUCCACAAUAGACCGGGUUUUGAAGAAGCAUCAGAUGACAAUG